GUCUAUGGCCAUGCCACCCUGAACAGGCCUGAUCCCAUCUGAUCUUGGAAGCUAAGCAGGGUCGGACCUGGUUAGUACCUGGAUGGGAGACCACCUAGGAAGACUGACUGGGUUUUGUAGGCA
rnacentral:rRNA from 1 species